rnacentral:rRNA from 1 species
CCUGGCUUAGGAUGAACGCUAGCUACAGGCUUAACACAUGCAAGUCGAGGGGCAGCAUGUGGUUGCUUGCAACCAAUGAUGGCGACCGGCGCACGGGUGAGUAACGCGUAUCCAACCUUCCCUUAGUAGAGGAUAGCCCGGCGAAAGUCGGAUUAAUACCCUAUGUUCUUCAAUGCGGACAUCUAAGUUGAAGCAAAGAUUUAUCGCUAAGGGAUGGGGAUGCGUCUGAUUAGGUUGCAGGCGGGGUAACGGCCCACCUGGCCUACGAUCAGUAGGGGUUCUGAGAGGAAGGUCCCCCCACACUGGUACUGAGACACGGACCAGACUCCUACGGGAGGCAGCAGUGAGGAAUAUUGGUCAAUGGGCGCGAGCCUGAACCAGCCAAGUAGCGUGCAGGACGAACCUGCCCUAUGGGUUGUAAACUGCUUUUAUCAGGGAAUAAAGUGAGGCACGCGUGCCUUUUUGUAUGUACCUGAUGAAUAAGGACCGGCUAAUUCCGUGCCAGCAGCUGC